rnacentral:rRNA from 1 species
AUGGAUCGGCUGUUCUUAGUGGCAAUGGGGCUAUUGCCCGUGCUAGCCUUCAUCGUCCUUAUGUUCAUGCCCAAGCCCAAGAGCAAGAUCACCUGCGUUGGUGCCACGCAGCUCCCUCCGGGCAGUGCAUUCUCCUGGCCCCUUGUGGGCAACCUGCCGGAGAUGAUGCUCAACAAGCCAGCAUUCCGAUGGAUCCACUCGAUGAUGAAGGACAUGGACACCGACAUCGCCUGCAUCCGCCUCGGUAGCGUCCUCGUGGUCCCGAUCACAUGCCCGAAGAUCGCCCGCGAGGUACUCAAGAAGCAGGAUGCCAACUUCGCCUCCCGCCCACUCACCUUCGCCUCGUCGACCUUUAGCGGCGGGUACAAGAACGCCGUGCUGUCCCCCAUGGGCGACCAGUGGAGGAAGAUGCGUCGCGUGCUCACCUCGGAAAUCAUCUGCCCCUCCCGGCACCAGUGGCUCCACGACCAGCGUGCCCAAGAGGCCGACAACCUCACAAGCUACGUCUACACGCUCGCCACCGCGCCGUCCUCGGCCGUCGAUGUGAGGCAUGUGGCGAGGCAUUACUGUGGUAAUGUCAUCCGGCGGCUCGUAUUUGGCAGGCGCUACUUCGGCGAGCCUCGUCAGGAUGGCGGCCCGGGUGCAAUGGAGGUGGAGCACAUGGACGCUGUGUUCACGUCGCUAGGGCUCCUCUACACGUUCUGCGUCUCCGACUACCUACCGUGGCUGCGCGGCCUCGGCCUCGACCUCGACGGACACAAGAAGAUUGUGAUGGAGGCCAAUGCGACGGUCAACCGGCUGCACGACACGGUCAUUGACGAGAGGUGGCGGCAAUGGAAGUCCGGCCAGAUGGAGGAGCUCGAGGAUUUCCUCGAUGUACUCAUCACGCUCAAGGACGCAGAGGGGAACCCUCUUCUCACCAUCGAGGAGGUGAAAGCACAGUCGCUGGACAUAAUAUUUGCCGCCAUGGACAACCCAUCCAACGCGGUGGAGUGGGCGCUCGCAGAUAUGACAAACAUGCCCGAGGUGAUGCGGAAGGCGGUGGAGGAAAUCGACCGGGUGGUGGGCCGAGAGCGGUUGGUGCAGGAGUCGGACAUCCCACGCCUCACCUACGUCAAGGCAUGCAUUCGUGAGGCAUUCCGGCUGCACCCCGUCGCGCCCUUCAACGUGCCACACGUCGCGCUCGCUGACAGCAACAUCGCCGGCUACCGUGUCCCCAAGGGCAGCCAUGUCUUACUCAGCCGUAGGGGACUUGGCCGGAACCCGGCUGUCUGGGACGAGCCGCUACACUUCAAGCCAGAGCGUCAUAUUAAUACCGCAGCCCACAACGACGUCGCCCUCACAGAGAAUGAGUUGCGGUUCAUCUCCUUCAGCACCGGCCGCCGUGUGUGUGUGGCGGCAUCGCUUGGCACAACCAUGUGUGUAAUGCUCUUCGGACGGCUACUGCAGGGAUUCACAUGGACCAAGCCAGCGGGUGUAGCAUCUAUCGAUCUCAGUGAGUCGGAGCACGAUUUAUUCCUAGCCAAACCGCUUGUGCUGCACGCCGAACCACGCCUGAUGGGACAUGUCUACCCCGGUGGCCAAUGUUGA